ensembl:lncRNA
CUGGCUUGUUGUAUGUGGGUUGUAUGUGCCUUUGGGCUAAAGACGAAAGUCUAAACCUUACAUUCACACUAGCAUGAGCACAGAGCAACAGAAGACCAUUCCUUUUCAAUGCACAUGGCCAAACAGAGCUACAAUUUCAGUGACAGCAGCAACCAACAAUGCUGCAGCACUACAAGCAACUUUUGAAUAGAGAUUUUCUCAAUUCUAUGACAAUUCAGCAUGACAUGUGAUCUGGCCAGUGAUCGCCUGUACUCCAACUUAUGCAAUGUGUGAUCUGGGUGCCAGAUAGCCCCAGAGACGCCAUGCUCCCUGCACUAUUGUCAAUGCCCAGGCAGCAUACAUUGCAUCUCCUCCUGUGGUCAAGACCAAUCACGUAACCACCAACCAUUUGGGGUGAAGCC